GAAUUGACUAUCCAGGUUUAGUUAGUUAAGUAGUCCAAUCGAAUAAAUAAUUGGGCUCCAUUAAUUAAUAAGAAGCAGCCCGAUAGAAAAAUAAUACAAGGCCCGACUCCAAUAUUUAGGAAGAGCCCAAACAAAUAAAUAACUUGUUGGGCUCAAUUAAAUAAAUCAUAUAAGGCUCAUAAAAAGAAUAGAAACUCCAGCCCACAAUAAUAUAACCAGCCCAAGAUAUAAAAUGAAAAUUAAUCUGGGCUAAAUUAAAUAAGAUGUAGAGGCCCAAUAAUUAAAGGAAUCCAGCCCAAAUAAAAUAAAAGAGGAGGCCCAAAUCCUCCCCCUCUACAAUCGGUUCUCUCUCACUCUCUUCAAAUUCAGACGCCGCUCAAGACCUCUCUCUCUCUCUCGCCCGUCCUUUCUCUUCGCGAGCUCCGCCGCGAACUGCUCCGGCGAGGACGACGGCCAGCCGAGCCUCCUCCCUUCGUCUCGUUUCUUCCUCAAUUCAUAUCGUCAGCCCUAACUCACGAAUUGAAGGUCUUAAUCGAGCCCUAACUCACAAAUUGAAGGUCGUCGUCGCCGCUGCAACUGGGUGUCCGGCGAACGGCCGUCGUCUGCGUCUCUGAGGCCGCCGUCUUCGUUCGUCCUCCCUCCUUCCUCAAUUUAAUGGGGGAUCCCCAAAUGAGGAGCCCUAAUUUCCCAAAAUCCAAAAUCGCCGCCGCCACCCCUUGAGAUCCGGCGCCUUCGCGUCGCCGGCACAAGCUUCUGCUGCUGUCUCGCAGAUUUAGGGGAGGCCACUAAAAUUUGAGCCCUAAUUCUCCUCUGGAAGCUCCGGAAACACGCACACACACAGCCGAGGCAGAGGUCGAGCCCUAGUUAUUCUCGGCGCACUCUCAAUCUCGCCGCAGCCGUUGCGUUUCUCCAGCGAGUAGGGAAAGCUCCGCCGUUGCCGUUUUCCCCGGGGUCGACGGUUCGAGCCUCGCCACGCUGCUGCUGGAUUCGGGCGAAGGGUACUCCGCUGCUGCUGCAAUCCAGAAUCGGCGAGGGCCAUCGCUGAGGUCGGGAGUUGUCUGCCUUUCACAGCUCGACGCCGCCGACGCUGCUGUCCCCGCGAGUUGCCGCCCACUCGACGUCCUUCGGCCCAAACAAACAGGGCAGUAGCCCCCCGCCCUCUCUAAAAGCUAAGUCAAUCUAUAGCUCUACAGUGAAGUCUUGGUUUUCAUAUAAGGAUUAUGCAAUAAAUUGUACUAAGCACUGAACUUGCUGUUGUAUCAAGGAAAUCCUUACUGCAUUUAGCUCGUAUAAAGGUCAUAGGCUGUUGUUGGUUCUUGAUGGAAGUAAACUGACUUAUGUACAUCCUCAUACUAUACAUUGGUAUUGUUUGUCUAUCAUGCUUAUUCUCCUAUUUAUGGUGUUUCUUAACUGACCAUGUACCGGUUAUGAGUGCGGCUAAAUUGAGUAUGAAAUAGUAAUAAUACCUUGAGUGUUUGCUUUGUUGGCUGUCUGGUGUUGUUGGAUUAAAUGGAUUGGGAGAAUCUGAAAUAUUCAAGGUUGUUGCUCUCUGUGUUAAUGCAGGUUAAACUAAUGACUGAAAGGAAAAGAGUUAAAGCGAAGCUUACCCCUUGAGUUUUGGCAGAACAGUGAAUGCAGCUUACCCUUCGGUGGAUUCUAUGUGUGGAAUGGAAGAUAAUGAAAGUGAUUUGCUGGAUGAAGUUUGAGGCCAAAAUGAGGAAUGUUGCCUGCACAUUUGAGUGUGCUAGAGAAUAGAUACAAGAGGUAGAGUGAAGGGGAUUGGGGGAAUAAGUGUGCUAAGGAAUAGGUGGUAGGGUGUAGGGAAAAGGGGAUUGGAGGGAGUUGGAGGCUGUUGCAGAUUUUGCACAGCCCCACACAUUUCAUAUCCUUUUUCUUUUAUUUCCCUUUCUUUCCCAAUUUCUAUGGGGUGUUGGCAGAUAGGUAUAAAGAAGUAGGAAUAGAAGAUUUGGUGGAUAUACAAGGAGAUCCCUCAGUGUUGGGAAUUCUAAAUUUGUAAUAUAGUAACGCGUGUUUAAUAAAACACUAGCUUCGGAUUUUUGCUAAUAUCGCGUGUUUGUGUAUCUGCUCGAUAUCUAAUUUCCUGCUUGCAAAUGUCGAGAGAUUGUAAAAUAAUUCUAAAUUAAAUCCGUAGAUUUAAUUCGUAUAUCUCAAUAAUUGUUAUCGCGGUUUCUCACGCGAAGCUAACGGACGUAAAUAAAAUAAUAACUCUGCUUCCAGUAUUAUAAAUAUAAAUAAAAAAAACAUAAGCGGGUAAGUGUGUUAUCAACCUAGAUAACCACUGAGUUUUAUUAUUGAAUUAUGUAAUAAAUAAUUAUCGCAUUACUGGUUUUAAUAUAAUUAAAAGUGUGGGUUAUUACAUAAAGUUACCUCAUUUUGCAAUGAUAAUGACAUUGGUGUUCCAGAUAUGGAGUCUCGAUAUAUCCCUCAAGGAAGAUCAAAGCGUUUUGCUCAACAAGUUUCAUAUCUUCAUCAUAUCCGAGUUGACGUGUUUCUAGAAGUAAUUGAUUUACUACUUCAAGAACUUGACAAUCGAUUUGAUGAGGUCAAUAUGGAGUUGCUUAUAUGCAUGGCUUGCUUAGAUCCUAAAGAUGACUUCUCUUCUUUUGACAAGGAAAAGAGAGAGCAUUUUCUGGAAUGACGUAUGUCAAGAAUAGGCUACGAAAUAGCAUGGGUGAUCAAGUUCUAAAUGAUUGAUUGGUUACUUUCAUUGAGAAAGAUAUGUUUCUACAAGUUUCCGAUGACGAGGUUGUGAAACGCUUUGAAGAAAUGAAGACUCGUCGAAAGAUAAAUUAGAUAGUUAUGUAAUUUUCUUUUGUAUUUUUAACAAUAUUUUGGAAUGUAAUGUUUUUAACAUUAAA